rnacentral:rRNA from 1 species
UACGUAGGGUGCAAGCGUUGUCCGGAAUUAUUGGGCGUAAAGGGCUCGUAGGCGGUUUGUCGCGUCGGGAGUGAAAACUCAGGGCUUAACCCUGAGCCUGCUUCCGAUACGGGCAGACUAGAGGUAUGCAGGGGAGAAUGGAAUUCCUGGUGUAGCGGUGAAAUGCGCAGAUAUCAGGAGGAACACCGGUGGCGAAGGCGGCUUCCGUGGACACUUACUGACGCUGAGACGCGAAAGCGUGGGGAGCAAACAGG